rnacentral:rRNA from 1 species
AUUGAACGCUGGCGGCAGGCUUAACACAUGCAAGUCGAGCGGAGCGAGGGUGCUUGCACCUUAGCUUAGCGGCGGACGGGUGAGUAAUGCUUAGGAAUCUGCCUAUUAGUGGGGGACAACAUUCCGAAAGGGAUGCUAAUACCGCAUACGCCCUACGGGGGAAAGCAGGGGAUCUUCGGACCUUGCGCUAAUAGAUGAGCCUAAGUCGGAUUAGCUAGUUGGUGGGGUAAAGGCCUACCAAGGCGACGAUCUGUAGCGGGUCUGAGAGGAUGAUCCGCCACACUGGGACUGAGACACGGCCCAGACUCCUACGGGAGGCAGCAGUGGGGAAUAUUGGACAAUGGGGGGAACCCUGAUCCAGCCAUGCCGCGUGUGUGAAGAAGGCCUUUUGGUUGUAAAGCACUUUAAGCGAGGAGGAGGCGCUCUAGGUUAAUACCCUAGAUGCGUGGACGUUACUCGCAGAAUAAGCACCGGCUAACUCUGUGCCAGCCGCCGCAGUAAUAC